rnacentral:rRNA from 1 species
UACGAAGGGGGCUAGCGUUGCUCGGAAUCACUGGGCGUAAAGGGUGCGUAGGCGGGUCUUUAAGUCCGGGGUGAAAUCCUGGAGCUCAACUCCAGAACUGCCUUUGAUACUGAAGAUCUUGAGUUCGGGAGAGGUGUGUGGAACUGCGAGUGUAGAGGUGAAAUUCGUAGAUAUUCGCAAGAACACCAGUGGCGAAGGCGGCUCACUGGCCCGAUACUGACGCUGAGGCACGAAAGCGUGGGGAGCAAACAGG